CACGUAGGGGGCGAGCGUUGUCCGGAUUCAUUGGGCGUAAAGGGCGCGCAGGCGGCCCGGAAAGUCGGAUGUGAAAACUCGAGGCUCAACCUCGAGCGUGCACCCGAUACUGCCGGGCUUGAGGCAGGUAGGGGAGAUCGGAAUUCCUGGUGUAGCGGUGAAAUGCGCAGAUAUCAGGAGGAACACCGGUGGCGAAGGCGGAUCUCUGGGCUGAGAUUGACGCUCAGGCACGAAAGCGUGGGGAGCAAACAGG
rnacentral:rRNA from 1 species